GACGAACGCUGGCGGCGUGCCUAAUACAUGCAAGUCGAACGCAGUUUCGCACGGGUGAGUAACGCGUAGGUAACUGCCUGGUAGCGGGGGAUAACUAUUGGAAACGCUAGCUAAUACCGCAUACUACCAGAUGGACCUGCGUUGUAUUAACUAGUUGGUGAGGUAACGGCUCACCAAGGCAACGAUUCAUAGCCGACCUGGGAGGGGGAGCGGCCACACUGGGACUUGGAAAAGGCCCAGACUCCUUCGGGAGGCAACAGUAGGGAAUCUUCGGGAAUGGGGGGAAACCUGACCGAGCAACGCCGGGGGAGUGAAGAAGGGUUUCGGAUCGGAAAGCUCUGUUGUUAAGGAAGCGGUACUUAACCAGAAAGGGACGGCUAACUACGUGCCAGCAGCCGCGGUAAUUC
rnacentral:rRNA from 1 species